AGAAGCCUUACCAUCCUGGUCGUCGGGGCUGCUAGGGAGGGGGCAGCCCGGCUCCUGAGAGGGUAGGGGGUCCUCGAAGGCGCUCUACACCCAGGGCGCGCGCGUGUGCACGCACGUGGUAAGCCCCCUGCGGUUUCCUGAGCUCCAGGACCGGGUAACCAGCGCAGUGCUUGCCUGCCUGCAGAGUGCAUCACCAAAGUACCAGAGGACAGGAUCUCUGCCCCUUGGAGCUUACAGUCUACCAUGCAACUCCACAAUAUUUCAUUCUCUUACAGAGUCCCUUUCCACAAUCCAUUGUUUAACAGGCAAAUAGCAAUGAAGAAGCUGCAGCUAUGGAAGCAAAGGACCAGACUCAACACUGCUGUCAGUUACAUGGACUGUGGUCAUUAAAGACCAGCUUGUCACUGUGGUUCUGUGGAGGUGAUCUUUCUCUUUGAUUUUUGUUAUCUUCCGGCAUUUUUGAACUGGAAUUGUGAACUUUGAAAGCACGUUGGAUUGUGAUCCAAACCAGAGGCAAACUUUGGGGAGGAACAGUGCUCAUUGUACCAGCAGCCAGAAAUUAAGGGAAUGGAGCUAUAAUUCAGUGGUAGAGCAUCUGAAUCAUCCCAAGUUCAGUCCCUGGCAGCAUCUCCAAAUAGGACUGGGAAGGACCCUGUCUGAAACCUUGGAGAGCUGCUGCCAGUCGGUGCAGGCAAUACUGACUCUGGAAAGAUCCUGCCAGUCAGUGCAGACAAUACUCAGGUAGAUGGAUCAAUGGUCUGACAGCAGAAGGCAUCUUCCUGUGUUCCUAAGGAGCACUGAUAACUCUUGCAGAUGGUCCCAGGUUCAAUCCCUGGCCUCUCUGGAUAGGGUGGGGAAAACCUUCCUGAAAGACGCUGCCAGUCCGAGCAGAUAAUGCUGAGCUAGAUGGACCAAUGGUCUGACUCAGUAGACAGCAGCUUCCUCUAAUCCUAGGCCAUCCUAUUCCGAGACAGGAUAUUACAAGAUGCAGCAGUACUGCUGGUAUAGCAGGACAGAUCUUGCGGGGUGGGGAGAUGGGUGGGCUUUCCUUUAGAGCAUACCCUAAAAUCACAAGUUCAAAAUGGAACCUUGAUCGCUGAAUCUGAUAGAGUCAUUUCCUUCCCUUCCACAUCUGAGAAAAAAUCUGAAAUAGAAUGACCUUUCUUUCUUUCUUUCUUUCUUUCUUUCUUUCUUUCUUUCUUUCUUUCUUUCUUUCUCUCCGCCCCCACCACCUGCCUUAUAGUGUGGAGAAUAAUUUUAAGACACAACGUUGCCUGGUGGAAGUAAGAAAUGGAUGCCCCAUAUAUAAUAGAUGCCCCCGACGCCCCAUUAACAAACGUGGGAAGAUUUCUCAAAUGGAAGAAACUGGCAUGCGUGCUGGAGUGCUAAUGUGCCCCCCUGGAUGUGCUAUUACUGAGAUGGUCUUUAGUGUUAGUAAUAUUUUUUAUAAACCUCACGUUUCAAUAAGAUCUGGCAGCUGUAGGAGCACCAUCACUUCCCAAGAAAGCAUCUAAUUGCGGCUUAGUAGCCAGGAAGCUUCACUCGGUAUAUUGCACAUAUUCGGAGGGGGGUUUUGUGUGUGUGUGGUGUGUGAGUGUAGACGGUGACAAGCUUUGUUCCCCUUGCCUCAUAGGGACUAGUUGCUUUUCCUGAGCUCGCAAUGAAUGGGUGUUCUUACUGUUUCCUCUUCCUUUCCAUGGAUAGUGCUCAAGCCCAUCGUUCUGCAAGACGAGGAGGAGGAGAGCUGGUCUUGUGAUAGCAAGCAUGACCUGUCCCCUUUGCUAAGCAGGACCUACCCUGGUUUGUGUUUGGAUGGGAAACUACAUGUGUGAGCUCUGUAAGAUCUUCCCAAUGGGGGCGGGGCCACUCUGGGAAGAGCAGAAGAGCAUCUUGGUUCACGUAGGACCGAGCCCUGUGACUCCUGUGAGGCUGGAAUGUUUCCAUCCGUGGAAAACCCCAAACAGGGGAAGCGGGGAUAGUCCAGCCCACUUUCCCUCCAAGGCCCUUUUGCCGGACAAUGCAGCAUGCGAGGAAAUUGGAGGCAAAGCCUAUAAAGGCGCCACUUAUUACAGCUGAUAAUUGCUUUCAGCCGUUAACAUGUGUUUGCAUUUUUUCCUGCCGCUCUCCUUCCGAGCAGAACGUGCUGCGGCCGAGAGGAAAAGUUUCGCCUGGGCCGCAGCCCAAAGACCCCCAAAGGGCAGCCUGGCAUCAUAACCUUUAUGUAACACAAGGCUUUUCUGGCAGGAAGAGAAGCCUGCAGUGAGUUGUUUUUAAAUUAUUUUCUUGCCCAGACAGAAUCCACGCGCUUCUCACUUGAACAGUUGCCUAGAAAGCCCCAUUAUGAACCAGCCCCGAGCUGGAGAACAUGGCUCCCAAACAAGUGGGGUUGCCAUAGUCUUCUCAAGCGAGGCCUCUGUGCUGUGAAUGGUCAUGAGACAGAAAUUCCAGAAGCAAAAAUGCUGCCUUGGGAGCCUUUCCAUGCAGGGAAACAUUUCACCUGUCGAAUUUCAGCAUGCGAAACAUACAAGGCCGUGUGUUGGCAAGCUUAGGAACAUAGGAAGCUGCCCUAUACUGAGUCCGACCAUUGGUCUAUCUGGCUCAGUAUUGUCUUCACAGACUGGCAGCGGCUUCUCCAAGGCUGCAGGCAGGAGUCUUGCUCAGCCCUAUCUUGGAGUGUGAGCCCUGUAAGAUAUUCCCAUUAGGUGAUGGAGUUGCUCAGGGAAGAGCAUCUAGGUUCCAAGUCCCCUCCCUGGCAGCAUCUCCAAGAGAGGGCUGAGAGAGACUCCUGCCUGCAAGCUUGGAGAAGCUGCUGCCAGUCUGGGUAGACAAUGCUGAGCUAGAUGGACCAAGGGUCUGACUCAGUAUAUGGCGGCUUCCUAUGUUCCUAGGGACCUUUCUGGAGCAUCAAGGGCAUCCUGAUUUAGAAGCUGUUUGGGUUCCUAUGUCUACCUCCCCAGUAAGGCCUUCAGUGCUCAGCCAGAUCUCUGAGAAGGCUGCCCUCAUAGAAGAGUUUGGACCUCAUCUGGCUGAGAUUUCCAUAAUCUCCAAAUCAACAGUCCUGUGCUUGCUCAUGCCGCGGCUUGACGCCUAUACAUCAGCCAGACAUCGAAGGAGCUGAAUCGGUGUGUAAACAAACACCCUGGCCAAUUCAAUUCGUGCGGGGAAAGGCCAUCAUAAAUAUUCAGGCCAACGUAAAUUGUUUUCCCCUCUUAAAUAUUGGGAACGUGUGGCAGCCAUUUCUCUCUCUUAAUGGACCCAUUAGCAAUUGAUCGGAGGCUGCGUUGUCAGUCUCCGGUGAAGAGCAGCACUUCGGAGCCUGCUGUGGGCAGCUAACGGCCUCUCCGGCCUCCAUUUUGAAUCGACGUGCUCUCGAUUCGCAGUGUCCUGGUCUGAAGAGGGAAUCCCUGCCCUCUCGACUCUGGACAUAAAUUGUUUGGCUGUCGGUUUGGAACCAACCAAAGCUGGCAAGAUCUCUUUGCAUAAUGCACGACUAAGCUAUGGAACUCACUGCCACAUGAUCUGGGGAUGGCUGGUAGCCACGAUCUCUUAGGGAAAUGGUUAGAUCUUUUCACAGAGGGAGAAAAUCAUCAACAAGGGCUAUUAGCAUAUGAGAUAAUAUUGGAUCUAUGUAUAUAUUACUAUUAUAUCAUAUGUGUAUUAUUAUGUAUGCUUUAAAUUUUGGUCUAUGACCGCAAAUAAACAUGACUGACUGACUGGCUAUUAGCAUAAUAGCUAGAUGGAGCUCAGUUUGGUCUACUCUGGCUGGCAGAAGCUCUCCAGGGCCUCAAGGAAAGGUCUGCACCGAUUGGCAGCAGCCCUGCAAGGUCUCAGCCAUUGCCUCUUUCCUAGUUCUGCUACACAAGGUCAUUUAACUAGAUAUGUCAGCGAUUAAAUCUGGGACCUUCCACAUGGAAAGUAUAUGUCUACCACUGAAUAUGACCUAGAAUGCUAGUAGAAAGAGCCAUUUUUAUUCUAUGUUUUUUAACUUUAGUAAACCGCCUUGGGAUUGUUUUUAAUGACAGGCGGUAUAUAAACUUAACAAUCAAAUAAAUAAAUAAAAAUAUAAAUUGCA